GCCUUGGCUCAGUGGGUAGAGCGUCAGCCUGUGGACUGAAGGGUCCUGGGUUCGAUUCCCAGUCAGGGCA
rnacentral:tRNA from 1 species